GAUGAACGCUGGCGGCGUGCCUAAUACAUGCAAGUCGAGCGAACAGACGAGGAGCUUGCUCCUCUCACGUUAGCGGCGGACGGGUGAAUAACACGUGGAUAACCUACCUAUAAGACUGGGAUAACUUCGGGAAACCGGAGCUAAUACCGGAUAAUCUAUUGAACCGCGGGGUUCAUUAGUAAAUGACGGUUUUGCGGUCUCUUAUAGAGGGUUCCGCGCUGCAUUGGCUGGUUGGUAAGGUAACGGCUUACCAAGGCAACGAUGCGUGGACGACCGGAUAGGGGGGUCGGCCACACUGGAACUGAGACGCGGUCCAGACUCCUACGGGAGGGAGCAGUAGGGAAUCUUCCGCAAUGGGCGAAAGCCUGACGGAGCGACGCCGCGUGAGUGAUGAAGGUCUUCGGAUCGGAAAACUCUGUUAUUAGGGAAGAACAAAUGUGUAAGUAACUAUGCACGUCUUGACGGUACCUAAUCAGAAAGCCACGGCUAACUACGUG
rnacentral:rRNA from 1 species